rnacentral:rRNA from 1 species
CCUGACUGCUAUCGGAUUGAUACUAAGCCAUGCGAGUCAUUGUAGCAAUACAAGGCAGACGGCUCAGUAACGCGUAGUCAACCUACCCUAUGGACGGGAAUAACCUCGGGAAACUGAGAAUAAUGCCCGAUAGAACAUUAUGCCUGGAAUGGUUUAUGUUCCAAAUGAUUUAUCGCCAUAGGAUGGGACUGCGGCCUAUCAGUUUGUUGGUGAGGUAGUGGCCCACCAAGACUAUUACAGGUACGGGCUCUGAGAGGAGUGGCCCGGAGAUGGGUACUGAGACACGGACCCAGGCCCUAUGGGGCGCAGCAGGCGAGAAAACUUUGCAAUGUGCGAAAGCACGACAAGGUUAAUCCGAGUGGUUUCUGCUAAAGGAACCUUUUGUCGGUCCUAAAAACACCGAUGAAUAAGGGGUGGGCAAGUUCUGGUGUCAGCCGCCGCGGUAAAACCAGCACCUCAAGUUGUCAGGAUGAUUAUUGGGCCUAAAGCAUCCGUAGCCGGCUCUGUUAGUUUUCGGUUAAAUCUGUACGCUCAACGUACAGGCUGCCGGGAAUACUGCAGAGCUAGGGAGUGGGAGAGGUAGACGGUACUCGGUAGGAAGGGGUAAAAUCCUUUGAUCUAUUGAUGACCACCUGUGGCGAAGGCGGUCUACCAGAACACGUCCGACGGUGAGGGAUGAAAGCUGGGGGAGCAAACCGGAUUAGAUACCCGGGUAGUCCCAGCUGUAAACUAUGCAAACUCAGUGAUGCAUUGGCUUGUGGCCAAUGCAGUGCUGCAGGGAAGCCGUUAAGUUUGCCGCCUGGGAAGUACGUACGCAAGUAUGAAACUUAAAGGAAUUGGCGGGGGAGCACCACAAGGGGUGAAGCCUGCGGUUC